rnacentral:rRNA from 1 species
GCAUGUCUAGUAUAGCAUUAUACAGCGAAACUGCGAAUGGCUCAUUAUAUAAGUUAUCGUUUAUUUGAUAGUACCUUACUACUUGGAUAACCGUGGUAAUUCUAGAGCUAAUACAUGCUAAAAAUCCCGACUCCGGAAGGGAUGUAUUUAUUAGAUUAAAAACCAAUGCCCUCUGGGCUCCUUGGUGAUUCAUAAUAACUUUUCGAAUCGCAUGGCCUUGCGCCGGCGAUGGUUCAUUCAAAUUUCUUCCCUAUCAACUUUCGAUGUUUGGGUAUUGGCCAAACAUGGUCGCAACGGGUAACGGAGGGUUAGGGCUCGACCCCGGAGAAGGAGCCUGAGAAACGGCUACUACAUCCAAGGAAGGCAGCAGGCGCGCAAAUUACCCAAUCCCGAUUCGGGGAGGUAGUGACAAUAAAUACUGAUACAGGGCUCUUUUGGGUCUUGUAAUUGGAAUGAGUACAAUUUAAAUCCCUUAACGAGGAACAAUUGGAGGGCAAGUCUGGUGCCAGCAGCCGCGGUAAUUCCAGCUCCAAUAGCGUAUAUUAAAGUUGUUGUGGUUAAAAAGCUCGUAGUUGAACCUUGGGCCUGGCUGGCCGGUCCGCCUCACCGCGUGCACUGGUCCGGCCGGGCCUUUCCCUCUGUGGAACCCCAUGCCCUUCACUGGGUGUGGCGGGGAAACAGGACUUUUACUUUGAAAAAAUUAGAGUGCUCCAGGCAGGCCUAUGCUCGAAUACAUUAGCAUGGAAUAAUGAAAUAGGACGUGUGGUUCUAUUUUGUUGGUUUCUAGGACCGCCGUAAUGAUUAAUAGGGACAGUCGGGGGCAUCAGUAUUCAAUUGUCAGAGGUGAAAUUCUUGGAUUUAUUGAAGACUAACUACUGCGAAAGCAUUUGCCAAGGAUGUUUUCAUUAAUCAGGAACGAAAGUUAGGGGAUCGAAGACGAUCAGAUACCGUCGUAGUCUUAACCAUAAACUAUGCCGACUAGGGAUCGGACGAUGUUAUUUUUUGACGCGUUCGGCACCUUACGAGAAAUCAAAGUGCUUGGGCUCCAGGGGGAAUAUGGUC